UUUCAAAAUUCAAAUUUGGAGGGAAACCACUUUUCUUAAGAAUCAAGUCACAUAAUUCCAUUCAAAGGAUCAUUUUUAUUACAAACCUUCAAAGUUUUAUUACAAAGAGAGUCAAAAUCAAAUUCUACACAAUAGAAUCACUUUUGACCUAGAGUUGACCUUUGAUCAAUUGUUGAAUUUUUGGUCAAUAGUUGACCAAAGUCAAACUGACUAUCUUAAUACUACAUUUGUCUUCAUUUAUUCUCCAUUUUUUGUGCCUCCAAGUUCAAGCCUUUUCAUGCUUACUUCCAUACCAAGUCUCCAUGAUGUCAUGUCUUGUUGCAUGCCAAGCCAAUUGUUAACUUGCCUAAUAUUCACCCUAUCAUCCCCACAGCAACACAAACCAAGUCACACAAACAAAAAACCAAUGCAUACAUACACAUUCAGCACAUGACAAUGCCACCAAACUCAUAAGUCAAUACGCUUGAGUCCCACUAACAUGCUUACUAACAUAACUAGCUAUUCAAGUACCUCUAAUCAUUUCAUAACAUCUAAGAUUUCUUUCAAUUAACAUCAAGAACCAAUAUCUUAAUAUUCAGUUCCAAUUAACAUAUUAACAUACCAACUGCUCAACUCACUAAUUAACCUGAACUAACAACUAACAUUACUAACCAAUAAUAAGCUCCUAGCUAAUAUAAUUAAACUGAUUCUAACAAUUCCUAUUAGCAUUCAAUUAACAUAACAGUUACCUAAUCUCUUUAUCACCUAGCUAUUCCAAAAUUCAACAACAAAUCCUUAGUUCAAAUUAACUAACAAUUAACAUCAGCCGAGGUAAUAGUUCAACUUAACAUUCUAUCUCAGCCCAAACUUCCAAAACACUCCAACAUAGUUAACUUUUUCUAACUGAUUCAAUUACACGAGUUCAAGCAUACCUUGAUAAUUCAAUUAGCAUAACUAUUAACUGUCAUAAUUUAUAUCUACCCUAACUCAUCCUCUAACAAGUUAACAUAGCCUAACAUACUAACUCAGUCACAACUAAUUCACUAACCUAUUCACUAAAACUUUCUCUUAACAAUUAACAUAUCCAAUUUUAACAUAAACUAACAAAUUCCUCUUGAUAUCACUUCUAACACUACUAACUUCUUCUAAUUCACAUCAGUUCAUUUUAAACAUAAAAUCAAUUUAAUAUAAGUAACUAGUCCCUAAUUGAUUUGGUUUUCCAUAUAACAACUCAUUCAAGCUUCAAACUAAUUCACUAACUAUCAAAACCUAACUAACUAACUGUUAACUAACAAUGUUAGUCCAUAUAACCAAUUUCUUCAUGAAACUAACUAACCCUAAGCCAUGCCCUAACCUUCAACAAACUUUGCCCUAAUUUCCCGAAUUUAGUUACACUCCAAUCUAUAUAUAAGAUCAUUCGCCUUCAAUCAUAUUAAACCAUUCACCCUGCACACAAAAAAACUCAUUCUCAAAUCAUUAUCUCUCUGAAUUCAAUCUCUCUCCUCUCAUCACACUCAAACCUCCUCAUCCAUAGUUGACAGAGCUUCAUCAAUGGAAUCUCUGAGCAACUGAGCUUAGCCUACUCCCUACAUGCUCUGUACUCUCCACCCCACUCUAAUCAUCAACAACAACACAAAUUUAAUUCCUACAAACUAGAUUCAAGAAGAAGAAAUUGUUGCAAGAAAAGUUGAAGAUUUGAAUUAUCACCUGAAUACUCUUUGAUCUUUGUUUCUUCAUCAGCUUCAUCAAUCUUCAACAAUCUCCAAGGCAAGCCAUGACCUUGUAGGUUGGAUUUAAUUUCUUAUCCAUUUAGCUUCAUUUGAGUUACUAGUAUGUAUCCCUUAGUGAGGGGAAUCAAAGCCCUAAGGUUGCAUGGCUUGAUUCCCCUCUGUUUUCAUUUAAUUUAUGUUUAGAAUGUUAGGGUUCUUGAGGCAAGUUUGAUAUUUUAGGGAUUUACAAUAGAUUGUGAGGAAGAUUUUCAUGAUUAAUGGAAAGAGGAAGACAAAAGAGUUCUAUUUAUGAUGGUUUAAAGUCGUUAUGAUCAGCUUCGUCGGCUCCGACUUCAAUGCAUUGGAGCAAUUUCCGGUGGGAGGGAUGAUUGAGAGAGAGAGAGAGAGAGAGAGAGAGAGAGAGAGAGAUGGGUUAAGCAAGUUGGAAAAAAAAGAGUGGAAGUGAGUUUGAGGGCUUCACCAUUUGCCCUCACUUUCAUUAAACUCACAAGACAUUAACAACUUGGGCAUUCAUUAUGAGCCCUGCACCCUUUUCACUUGGUCAUACUCCCCCUGGUCCAUACACCCCAGCAGAGUUGAUUUUAUGUUUUAAUUAAUUAUUGAUAUGUUUUUUUCUCUUUUUUC
rnacentral:lncRNA from 1 species